CACACACGGCUCUCUCUCUCAUAACCUAACACUCGGAACACUGAGGUCAGAGGUCAUUAAAGCUUCUGUUCCAACAACACUGACGUAGUAAACAGUUAUCAUAAAUGCUACAUUAGCAUUACUUGUAUUAGAGAUUGCCUGAUAGCCACAUUAGCCACCUGCUAUCAUUAGCACCUAGCAGACUGUAGUUAGAUAAACAUGAAUAAUUGUUGCAGCUGAGUGAGUCAUGGAUGGAGUAUUGAUCAUGACGGCGCUGAUUACGGCCACAUGGAGAAGUGGGCGGGGUGCUGCUGGGGAGGUGUAGCUGAACCAAGGACAGAGUCCAGAGUGUGGGGAACCAAUCGGAGUACAUCAAAGGAGAAGUGAGGGCAGAGCAGCCAAUCAGAUGGUUUCAGGCUGCAGAGCCGUCCCGUGGACCGGACUGGAGUCUUUGCAGGACCCGUUCUGGCACCUGGACCCUAUGUUUGACUCCCCUGUCUUGCAGGCUUUACACUCACUGCUAUGGCCUCAGCUAUUACCACGCCACGUUUGGAGGAGCUGGGGGAGGGGGUGGGGGGCUGCACCACGAGCCGAACCCGGGAGGAUCCGCGGACCGCGACGGGAAAAAGCCCAGGAUCCCUUUGUAACAACUGCCAUCGAUAAACAAAGAUGGAAUUAAGCUUUAUUUAAAGGCUUUUUAUGGGCCGACGUGGACACUCGGAGGUGUGCGCGGGUGAGUCUCUUAAAGGUCCACAGGUGGAGAGUCCAGCGGACUCCUCAUCUCCUCAUGGCUCUAAGCCACGACAACCCCCACCUACUCCAACUGUUUCUGCGAAGCACCACAGCCCUGAACUUUGCAUAAGACAGCACAAGCAGUCUGACCAGUGUUUAAUGUGCUACAGAUUCUGAGAGAGGCCAGACUGAGCUGGUGUGCAGACAGACCCAAUGCCAGGACGCUCCUUCUGAAACCACACCUCCUGCUCUCUGUGAGAGACCGGCAAAAAGAUCCCGAACAGCUAAAAGGGAGCUGCUCAGUUUUUCCUUCAUCUGUCCAGAUGUUCCAUGACAUCAUACAUACAGAUGCUGCCCACACUCACCUCCUGCACCGAUGAUGACUGUACAUGAAAAAAAGUGACGCUAAAGUGCCUUAAAGCUGCAUUCUUUCUGAGGUCCAGCAGGGGGCGACUCCCCUGAAGUCUGAUUGGAUAGAAGUCUACAUAAUGAUUGACAGGUGGCACUCCGUGCUCGUUAAGGCUUUUUUGAAAAACUAAGAGGCUUCACAAAGCCGUGAGUGACUGCCGUCACUUUUCUCGUUGUAGCUCACACUUAUUUCAAAUCUGUACAAAGCGUCAAAUAACAGCAGCCUUCACCUCACGUAAAGAUGUCACUCAGGUCGGUGUUAUCAGUAACGACUAUCAGUUCCUAACCUGUUCAACAAUUAUCGUGUAUUUGCAUAAAUACGUGAACUAACGUGAAAACAAAUCUUUUUUUGUUGCAGUCAGCAUGCAUGUUUCAUUUUUAUUGCUUAAAUCUAACCAACCAACAAAGUAACAGUUGAAGUAAACACCAGAAAAAUAUCAAAGAAAGUCUAAAAAUGUUUUCAGGUUUGGGGCCUACAGUGACUUUACUUUGUGUACAUGGACAUGUGAGCUGACGAAAGCAGGAACACAAACUGAUGGGGAAACUUUGGUGCGAGGUGGCUUUCACCGCAGCACGAGCAUCUCUUUGUUUUUACCCUGUGAACCAGCCAGUGUGUGAGCAGACCAGAGUCACUGCUUUUAACCAUCGGGCCGGUCCUAAACUUACUUCCAUAUGACGUCAGUGCAACAAUGCACUCAUUCUUCUUAUGAAGUAGAAGCGAGGACAGGACAAUGAUGUUUUCAGCUUUCAGAUGAUGUGUGAAUGCUAUAUGUAAUGCUCCUUGUUCUCACACUGAGGGAAAAAGGUCAGCACAGGACUGUCACAGCCCAAGGUCACUUCAAGUGAAGUGCAUAAUUAAUGAUGCAGCUCGGAGGCACCAAACUCAUUCUCAGCCAUGAAAACAGGGAUCAAGAGCUUUAUAUCAUAAACACAGAGAUAUUUCCGCAUCUGAAAGUCGUAUCUGCUGAAAACAUACUGGAAGCUACGUGUUUGUGUUUGUAUCUGUAUCUGUAUCUGUAUCUUCUUCUCUGUUCCUAAGUCUUCGUGAUGGUUGGUUGUGGUUUUAUUUGCCUUCCAAAUGAGCAAUAAUGCUGGAAUAAAACCCCUCAGAACACAGAACACACGGGCUUUUGGAAAAGUGACAUUGGUGGAUUUCUAUCUAACCGUGGUCCCAUCUGACAGAAACCCAGGUGGGGUAGCAGGUGUCUUCAUUCUGUGACCAAUCCCAGCGAUUAACAGAUCAAUUAGGUUCCAGGUAGAAAAAAACCCAGCUGCACCCGCCACCCACCCGCUA